CCUACGGGCGGCAGCAGUGAGGAAUAUUGGUCAAUGGGCGAGAGCCUGAACCAGCCAAGUCGCGUGAAGGAUGACGGCCCUACGGGUUGUAAACUUCUUUUGUCAGGGAGCAAUUGAGUCCACGUGUGGUCUUAGCGAGAGUACCUGAAGGAAAAGCAUCGGCUAACUCCGUGCCAGCAGCCGCGGGAAUACGGGGGAUGCGAGCGUUAUCCGGAUUUAUUUGGUUUAAAGGGUGCGUAGGCGGAAUAUCAAGUCAGCGGUAAAAAUUCGGGGCUCAACCCCGUCGUGCCGUUGAAACUGAUGUUCUUGAGUGGGCGAGAGGAAUGCGGAAUUCGUGGUGUAGCGGUGAAAUGCAUAGAUAUCACGCAGAACUCCGAUUGCGAAGGCAGCAUACCGGCGCCCAACUGACGCUGAAGCACGAAAGCGUGGGUAUCGAACAGGAUUAGAUACCCGUGUAGUC
rnacentral:rRNA from 1 species